AGCACUUGGUCAGAAAAUCCCAACAAACAGUUAACUCGGCUUUAUUCUACACAACACACUUUCACAGUUGUUACUGGAAUAAAAUGUGCCUGGUUUGGCAAUGAAAGAGCAGAACUAUUGGAUAUUGUUAUGCAACUCAGUGUCUUCAAGGGUGACUUGUAACUUGUUCUUUAUUCAGCCAGUGCCAACUGCAUGUUUAAUCAAUGUCACCACUCACUACAGUCUGCAACUGAAGCCGCUGUCAUUCCACUCCUCAGAUCUGACUGGCUGCUAAGUUAUGCAAUGCUCUCAAGAAUGCCUUGGAAUUAUUUGUCAGAUGCUUUGAAUGCAAGUGUGUAACAACCCUAGAGCAAACAGAAAACUUCGUUCCUUCUGGACCACAAAUGCGAAUGACUGCUCUAAUAUCACCCGCGAUCUUUGGAUUUACAACUCAGCAACAUGAAAGAAGCCUCUUCAGAGAGUUAACAAGACCGAGAGAGCAUGUUAAAUUACCAUAACAUUGGAAUGUCUUGGGGAAGUGCUACACAUAUAGCCAUGAGAUAUCACAUUUUAACGAGAAGACUCAAUGAUGUUUUUACUGCUUACACAUUCUAUGGAAGAAUCCAGGAUUUUAAAAGGAGAUAAAUAUAUAACCUGGACACGGAGAACAGGGGAUUCUUUCUUGACACCACAUUGUUUCAGUGGAUAACUGAAACAAGGCCUGCAUUUCUUUGAAGAUUUUAUCUCGUGUAGCACAUCUACAGCUUCAUUCAUCAAAACACUGUUCAUGCUUGCAUGUAAUUUCUGCUCUGAGUGAAAAGAACAGUCCUCCAUGAAGAUAAGGCUGUUUCUCCACUGCAGUGAGGAGUAAGCAGCAUGUCUGAUGAGAUUUUAUUCCUGAUGCAAUGUAGGCUAUCAGUCAGAACACUGGUGAAGAUUUUUGCAGAAAAGAUGAGGAGCUCUGCCAUCACAACAUUAGAAGAUGUGAAAAGGCAAGAAGAGAGUGAGGAAAAGGAGGAAUCUAUUUUAGCUCUGUUAGGAAUAAUUGGAACAGUACUUAAUCUAUUUGUAAUUGUUUUUGUCUACGUAUAUACAACCCUUUGAUGGCUUUCUAGCAACUCAGAAGACCAGCAAUGGCAAAAAGAAACAUGGAACAUCAAUCAACAGGAAAAAGAGGCUUAAAGAAAAAAACACAUUCCAGAAAGAAGUGCCCAUUUUAGGGCACUACAUCAACAACUGUAAAAUGCAUCUAUGAACUCAGUUAAACUAUAUAAAAGAAGACUGCUACAUAUUAAACUCUCACUGAUGACUGCUGGAAGUUCAGACACUCAUAACACAUGCUUCCUCUCCCCUCCCUGGCAAUUAAUAUGCAAGAUGUUGUUAACAUAUGCAGGACAAAAACUAAAGGUAAUGGGUGCCAUAAAAUCUUCCUAUGUUUUACUUACUUGAUUCCCAUUAUACCUUUGGAUUUGUAAUUAUGUACCUCUAUGUAGGUGACAGCUGGGUUAGAAAUGAGACCAUUUCAAAACCAUCAUUAUGUGCUAAAGUUACAUAAAUAUAUACAAAGUGUAGAAAGAACAGCAAUGUUAAGUACUGUAUUGUAAGUAAAUAAAAUUUCAAUUAACUACCUUCCAAAAUACUUUUAAUUUUCAUAUUGCUGACUGCUGUGCCAGAUAUUCUUGUCCUUACGUUUACAAUUCACAUUUAUGCUUGUAAACUAUACUCUAUUCAAAAAACAUUUUAUAAUACCAGGAACGGGAUUUUUAAAAAUAUUUGUACUAAAAAAUAUAGAUCCAUCCUUGCAAUCAUUUUAGUACAUUUUUAAAGCCAUUCCUUCAGAGGUGGCAAUAAAGCAAAUUUAUUACAAUUUUAAGUGAACAAAAUAUUUGGAACUAGCUAUUUAAACUCUGAAUUCAACCAAUUCAACCAGAGAAGAACUCAGAUCAACUAGAAUUUCAACCUGUAAAAAAAACCCAACCCCCUAGAGAUUUCUAAUCUUUUCCUCUAAACUAUUCAUUGUACAUAGCUUGGAUUCUCCAGAGAUCUUUCACAUAUUCCAUCUAAUCGAGGAGAAUUAUUCUGAAGUGUAAGGAUUCAAAGUCAUGGUAGGAUCUCUCCAACUACAAUCCAGUGUUCAGUUAUUUGGAAAUAAGUUGCAUUGAACCAACAAGUCUUAAUUCUUUUAAGAAGGCAAAUGUGCAUAUAAUUUUUUUCCAGAUUCCAUUUGUAAGUCAAACAUUUCUCUAAAAGACUAUGCUUUAUACGCCAUGCCCUCCUUUGUCUGCAGCUUUUAAAAUAAAAAUUUGCAAUACUGAAAACUUCA